CAAAAUAAAGCUUUUAUAGUAAGCAUUUCAUUUACACUGAAAAGAAUUUCGUGCGAAUCGAAUUAUUUUGA
rnacentral:tRNA from 1 species